CACUUGGUUUAUUCACUUCCAAGUCCAUUAUAGUUUUCAAUUUAAAUAUGAGAGAUAAUCAAUACACUGGGUGCAUUCCAGAUGUGUUUUUAAGACAGUAAACUGUAAAUGUGAUAUGACCUGAGGUUGAAAAAAGAAAACUGUGUGCAGAGGCAUCAGUGAAUUUCAGUGCCAUCACUGAGCAGAAGUAGCAAGAAGGAUUUUGAAAGCAGGGAAUGCAGCUUUUUCCUAGGAGCAUUCUAAGUUUUAGGCAGUUUCUGCUUUUUUUCUCUUCCAAAAAUAUUAAAUGAUCUUACCAAUGUUAUUCAUCUUUCUUACAGUAAUUUUAUUUUACAUAUUUACCAUGGCUGAUUCUACUAGAACCUGAGUUAACCUAUCACAAGAAAAUCAUUCUGAACAGAGACACAGUAAAUUAUCACAAGGCUGUUAUGUAACUGUGUCUAUGAUACCAGAGAGAUCACGGACUUUGCUUCUGUAAGUCACAAAACCCUUCAACUAAUUAUCCUGCAAUUAGCAAUGCACAAUGAAGAAGUAAGUUCUUAAUAUUUGCUUGUGGUUGACAAGUAUUAUGACAAUGCAAUUUUCUGAAAAUGUUACCAGCUCACUGGGAGUGUUUAACAAACUGGGGCCUGACAUAAUAGACCAUAUUGCAUUCAUAUCUAACAUCAUGAGGCCCACUAUAAUAUAAAUGAUGAAACUAAGCAAAUAGCUAAACUGAUAGAGACUUUAUGCAUGGAUUAAUGUCUUUGAAAAAUGUUUAUUAGUGUAUUUGUACCUCCAGUAUGUCUGAAAAAUGUAGGAAAUAAUCUACCUUCUGGAACAGCACUGAAUAUAUAUAUGUAAAUGUGUGUAUAUAAAUAUAUAUGUAUAUGUGUAUAUAUAUGUAUGUGUAUAUAUAUAUAUGUGUAUAUGAAUACAUUUACUUAGUUUCACAUCCACACACCCAGAAGCAAACAUACAUAAUAUCCAUUAUAUAUAUUUGUAAACUUAUAUAGAGGACUUCCUUUUUUAUGUGUGAACUAUGCACGUGGUAUCUUAUUUUUAAAACACAUUAUGCGUAUAAGAAAGACUGCAUUACACAUAUCCAUAUGUAGGAGCCUAAGCGAUUGUUGAUCUUUUUUUUAAAUAGGACUAUUACUCCAUGAUCUCUUAUUUCUAAAUCCAGAACUCUCUUCCAUACUGUCCUAUGAAGGGGAAAGUGGCAUGUGUGUUGAAGAGCAGAAGUAGAUGAGAGGCCUUUGUAAAUCAAAGAAUGAAAACUCAUCAUUUUGUCCUUAGAUAUGUGACAUAAAAUUUAACGACAUUCGUCAAAGGAAAAACAUUCAGGAAAAACUUUAAGUCCCCUAGUUCUAUUUGUUAAAGGUGAUAUAAGUUGAUCUUUUUUAUUGCUUUAUGCUUUUUUUUUUUUGAAAAAUGGAUUUUCCUCAUUGAAGAAGUUUGCCCUGCCUUGGAAAACAACUUGCCAUCAAACAAGUUCACAAGAUAUUUACAAGCUUGAUGCAUUAAAGGGAAGAAUUUUUGUAUACAAGUCUUUGCAAAUUUUCUUGGAUGAAAUGCAAGAAGGGUUUGAUUUCUAUGAGAUUCUACUUGAUGGCAAACAGGGCAGAGCUAUCACAUGGUUCCCAGGAGGCUUACACCCAACAGCAUGAAAACUUGGAAGUCUGGCUGUAUUACCUUAUGUGAUGACUGCAGAGCUCAAUCGCAUUUAAGAUUUAAUAUCAUUGGCAAUAUGCCUCCAGCAGCCACUGAAUAAUAUGGAGUAAAAAUGUCUUAAUCUCCAAAAGAUUGCUGCCUUGUGAAGUAAAUUACUCUAGUUACAUUAACAAGUUAACUAGGUACAAGGUGAGAAUAUAAAAUCUUAGAACUAAACUCUGGUUCAUAUAUAUUCAAAAGGUAGCAGGAUAAAAGCAAUGUAUAGACUAAGAAGAAGCAGGGAGAAAU